GCUCCCAGUGCCAGAGGGCAGGGCUGGAUGGGAUCUUGGCAAUCAGGAAUUGUUCCCUGGCAGGGUGGGCAGGCCCUGGCCCAGGGUGCCCAGAGCAGCUGGGGCUGCCCCUGCAUCCCUGGCAGUGCCCAAGGCCAGGCUGGACAGGGCUGGGAGCAGCCUGGGACAGUGGGAGGUGUCCCUGCCAUGGCAGGGGUGGCACUGGAUGGGCUUUGAGGUCCCUUCCAACCCAAACCAGUCUGGGAUUCUGUGAUUAUUUGACAUUAAUAAAGAUAUCAAACAUGGUCUGCUUUCUCCCUCCUCAGAAUUACUAUUAGACUUUUCCAGCACUGAUACUCUCCUUUCUUCAAGAUCCCUCAAGGAUUCAAGGCACAGCUUAAAUUGCAGAAAGAACUUGCACUGAGAUGGCAGCCACAGGACACCUGAAUCUUUCAGAGAAAGAGAAUUUAUUGCUCCAUUAUCAGAAGAAAUGAACUUCUUCCCACCUCCCAUAGUCAGGAUGAUGCCAUUAGGAUUAAGAGGAAGAAGUUGAAGAUGACCAGACAGAAUUCUGUGUUUGAAUGGAAUUUAUGCAUCAUGUGUGAGGUGUAUGAAUAUGCAACAGGCUAUUGUUUUUAUGGGUUAAUCCUCUGUUAACAUGGGUCCUUUUUCAGGCUUAUUUUGCCCAGAAAAAGGUACCUGGGCAUCCCUAACUCUUUGUUUCUAUUGUCUCACAUUGUCCUAAUUCAAAUUGUCCAAAAUUAUUAUUACUGUAAUUAUAUUACUAUUUUUAUAACCUUUUUAUUAAUAUUAAACUUUUAAAAUUGGCGUUUUUCACACUUCCAACAAACCCAAACCAUUCUGGGACUCUGGUACAGCUUGGACCUGAGAGCACAGAAGAAAUUAAAAUUUUUCCAAUUCAA